rnacentral:rRNA from 1 species
GAUGAACGCUGGCGGCGUGCCUAAUACAUGCAAGUCGAGCGAACGGACGAUAAGCUUGCUUCUCUGAUGUUAGCGGCGGACGGGUGAGUAACACGUGGAUAACCUACCUAUAAGACUGGGAUAACUUCGGGAAACCGGAGCUAAUACCGGAUAAUAUUUUGAACCGCAUGGUUCAAAAGUGAAAGACGGUCUUUCUGUCACUUAUAGAUGGAUCCGCGCUGCAUUAGCUAGUUGGUAAGGUAACGGCUUACCAAGGCAACGAUGCAUAGCCGACCUGAGAGGGUGAUCGGCCACACUAGAACUGAGACACGGUCCAGACUCCUACGGGAGGCAGCAGUAGGGAAUCUUCCGCAAUGGGGGAAAGCCUGACGGAGCAACGCCGCGUGAGUGAUGAAGGUCUUCGGAUCGUAAAACUCUGUUAUUAGGGAAGAACAUAUGUGUAAGUAACUGUGCACAUCUUGACGGUACCUAAUCAGAAAGCCACGGCUAACUACGUG